rnacentral:misc_RNA from 1 species
GAUGAAGAACGUAGCGAAAUGCGAUAAGUAAUGUGAAUUGCAGAAUUCAGUGAAUCAUCGAAUCUUUGAACGCACAUUGCGCCCGCCAGUAUUCUGGCGGGCAUGCCUGUUCGAGCGUCAUUUCAACCAUCAAGCCCCAGGCUUGUGUUGGAGCCCUGCGGCUGCCGCAGCCUCCCAAAACCAGUGGCGGGCUCGCUAUCACACCGAGUGCAGUAGUUUACUCUUCGCUCAGGGCGUGUGGCGGGUGCUAGCCGUAAAACCCCCAACUUCUCAAGGUUGACCUCGGAUCAGGUAGGAAUACCCGCUGAACUUAAGCAUAUCAAAGCGGAGGA